rnacentral:rRNA from 1 species
GACGAACCGUGCGAACGUUAUUCGGAAUCACUGGGCGUAAAGCGCACGUAGGCGGACUCUUAAGUCGGUGGUGAAAUCCUGGAGCUCAACUCCAGAACUGCCUUCGAUACUGGGAGUCUCGAGUUCGGGAGAGGUGAGUGGAACUGCGAGUGUAGAGGUGAAAUUCGUAGAUAUUCGCAAGAACACCAGUGGCGAAGGCGGCUCACUGGCCCGAUACUGACGCUGAGGUGCAAAAGCGUGGGAGCA